rnacentral:lncRNA from 1 species
CCAGGGCCCCGCAACAGAACCGGUCACAAAGAUCGACCUGGUGUUCGCCAAGGCAUCCCAGACACAGGAGAGCCUUGGAUUCAUUGUGCUCGAGGAGACAACCACGCCCGAGAGGAUGUGCGCGAAAAUCGCCAACCAGUGGACGCGCAUCCUCAUGAGCCAGACAACCGAUCCCACUUGGCUUGGAUCAGCUGGCGUCACCUACCUGUGCCGCCUGGCGGUGAC